CAUGUCCAGCUGGGAACGACCAAGGGAAAGACCCAGGACUAGAUGGAGAGAUUAUAUCUCAAUACUGGCCUUGGGAACACCUCGGGAUCCACCAGUCAGAGGUGGUUAAUGUGGCCAGGGAAAGGGAAGUUUUGGGAUCCCCUGCUUGAGCUGUUGCUCCCAUAACCUGAUAAGUGGUUAAGAUGUUUGUAUGUAAUGCAAUUAUUU